UGCCCUUAUAGCUCAGUUGGUAGAGCACCUGAUUUGUAAUCAGGGGGUCGGGAGUUCGAGUCUCUCUGGGGGCACCAC
rnacentral:tRNA from 1 species